rnacentral:misc_RNA from 1 species
AAGGAUCAUUAACCAGCCGUGAAGGUCGCCCUGAAAAGGGAAUGACCUCUCACCCGGCCACCCUUGCUUAUUUUAACCUGUUGCUUUGGUGGGCCCGCCGUAAGGCCGCCGGGGAACUUGGAUUCUCGGGCCUGUGUCCAUCAAAGUCUUUACUGAACUCAGCAAGUUUUUCUAUAUUGUCUGAGCAUGAAAGCAUAACCUUUUAAAACUUUCAACAACGGAUCUCUUGGUUCCG